rnacentral:rRNA from 1 species
ACGGAGGGUGCAAGCGUUGUUCGGAAUAACUGGGCGUAAAGGGCGCGUAGGUGGUUGUGUAAGUCAGAUGUGAAAUCCUUAGGCUUAACCUGAGAACUGCAUCGGAUACUGCAUGACUCGAGUACAGCAGAGAGUAUCGGAAUUCGUGGUGUAGUGGGGGACAGUGUAAGUGUCAGGAGGAACCGUGGUGGCGUUGUCAGUGUAGGGGGCUGGUAGUUAGCCUGAGGCGCGAAAGCUUGGGGAGUUCACAG